rnacentral:rRNA from 1 species
UGGCGGUGCUUUAGACUAUUCAGGGGAACCUGUCUCGUAAUCGAUAGUCCACGAUACACCUAACCUUUUUUAGUUAUCAGUAUGUAUACCGUCGUCGUCAGGUAACUUUUAAAAAUAAAGAAGUUAGCGAUAAAAAUUAUGAUAAUUUUGUACGUCAGAUCAAGGUGCAGCUUAUAAAAAGGUGAGGAUGGGUUACAAUUAAGAUUUAUAAUAACGGAAAAAAGCUUGAUACAGCUUUUAAUGAAGGAGGACUUGAAAGUAAAAUUGUUAUAUACAAAUUUUUUGAAUUUAGCUCUGAAGCGU